GUCGACGGAAGUCGUUAUGAUGAUUUCAACACUGACAGAGAACUUGUUCAAAGAAAGUAGAGAUUGACUUAUAACAAUGGCUUUAGUGGCGGACUGGUGAGUAACACGUGAGCAACCUGCCUAUCAGAGGGGAAUAACAGUGAGAAAUCAUUGCUAAUACCGCAUAUGCCAUAAAUAUCACAUGAUGAAAGUGGGAAAGGAGUAAUCCGCUGAUAGAUGGGCUCGCGUCUGAUUAGAUAGUUGGUGGGGUAACGGCCUACCAAGUCGACGAUCAGUAGCCGGACUGAGAGGUUGAACGGCCACAUUGGGACUGAGAUACGGCCCAGACUCCUACGGGAGGCAGCAGUCGGGAAUAUUGCGCAACGGAGGAAACUCUGACGCAGUGACGCCGCGUAUAGGAAGAAGGUUUUCGGAUUGUAAACUAUUGUCGUUAGGGAAGAUACAAGACAGUACCUAAGGAGGAAGCUCCGGCUAACUACGUGCCAGCAGCCGCGGUAAUACGUAGGGAGCAAGCGUUAUCCGGAUUUAUUGGGUGUAAAGGGUGCGUAGACGGGAAAGCAAGUUAGUUGUGAAAUCCCUCGGCUUAACUGAGGAACUGCAACUAAAACUACUUUUCUUGAGUGUUGGAGAGGAAAGUGGAAUUCCUAGUGUAGCGGUGAAAUGCGUAGAUAUUAGGAGGAACA
rnacentral:rRNA from 1 species